UACGUAUGGUGCAAGCGUUAUCCGGAUUUACUGGGCGUAAAGGGAGCGCAGGCGGUGCGCCAAGUCUGAUGUGAAACCCCGGGGCUCAACCCGGGGCAUGCAUUGGAAACUGGCGGGCUGGAGUGCCGGAGAGGUAAGCGGAAUUCCUAGUGUAGCGGUGAAAUGCGUAGAUAUUAGGAGGAACACCAGUGGCGAAGGCGGCUUACUGGACGGCAACUGACGCUGGGGCUCGAAAGCGUGGGGAGCAAACAGG
rnacentral:rRNA from 1 species